CGGGGCGUAGCUCAAUUGGCAGAGCGCGUGGUUUGGGACCACGAGGUUCCCGGUUCGAGACCGGGCGCCCCGA
rnacentral:tRNA from 2 species